UGUGAUGGUGUCUGCUCCUCUACAGAGCUCUAUGAGUACUGCAUCAAGGAAGGAUACGCUGACAAAAACCUGAUUGCCAAGUGGAAGAAACAGGGUUAUGAGAACCUCUGCUGCCUGCGCUGUAUCCAGACGCGCGACACCAACUUCGGAACCAACUGCAUCUGCAGGGUCCCUAAAAGCAAGCUGGAAGUGGGGAGAAUCAUUGAAUGCACUCACUGUGGAUGCAGAGGCUGUUCUGGGUGAAGCUGUUUUAGCCAUAAGACUACUUUUGGAAUUCUGAGGGAUUUCAUCCUGCACAAUGGACAGUCACAGCCGCUUUCUGCGUGAGUGGAUAUUUCUGUAUAGCAAUUAAAGCAGUAACGUAUUCGCCUGGAUCGUAUUUGCAAAGGUGGUUGUGUUGGAGUAGGUUUUUGUGUAGCCAUUUAUUUUAAAAUAAAGUCUGCCCUCCUGAGAGAGUGGUGUGAUCUUCUGGCAAAA